rnacentral:tRNA from 1 species
AGCAGAGUGGUCUAGUGGUCAGACCCUGGGCUUGGAAGUCAGAAGGACUUGGGUUCUCAUCCCUGCUCUGCCA